CACGUAGGGGGCGAGCGUUGUCCGGAUUUAUUGGGCGUAAAGAGCUCGUAGGCGGCUCAGGAAGUCAGGUGUGAAAACUCCAGGCUCAACCUGGAGACGCCACCUGAUACUGCUGUGGCUAGAGUCCGGUAGGGGAGCAUGGAAUUCCUGGUGUAGCGGUGAAAUGCGCAGAUAUCAGGAGGAACACCAGUGGCGAAGGCGGUGCUCUGGGCCGGAACUGACGCUGAGGAGCGAAAGCGUGGGGAGCAAACAGG
rnacentral:rRNA from 1 species